rnacentral:rRNA from 1 species
UACGGGGGGGGCAAGCGUUGUUCGGAAUUACUGGGCGUAAAGGGCUCGUAGGUGGCCAACUAAGUCAGACGUGAAAUCCCUCGGCUUAACCGGGGAACUGCGUCUGAUACUGGAUGGCUUGAGUUUGGGAGAGGGAUGCGGAAUUCCAGGUGUAGCGGUGAAAUGCGUAGAUAUCAGGAGGAACACCGGUGGCGAAGGCGGCUACCUGGACAGAGUCUGACGCUGAGGCACGAAAUCUAGGGGAGCAAACAGG